rnacentral:misc_RNA from 1 species
AAGAGUUAUGUAUCUUCGGGUACUAUCUCCAACCAAUUGUGUAUCUAUUCUGUUGCCUCGACAUACGAUGAGUACCCGUAAGGUGUACCCAUCCUUCGGUUGCUUUGCACCUGAAGAGUGAUGUCGAAGGAUUUUAAACAUCUUUUAAUUAAGUUAUCUGAGUUAAAUCAAUAAAAACA